UGAGUACGAGAUGCUACGGCAUUGAAGCAGUCUAUGUCAUACUUCCAAGAAAAGCUUGCACUGUCAUAAACAAAGAAUGCCUGUACCAUAACCGACACAGGUGGGUAGGUAGAGUAUACUAAGGGGCGCGAGAUAACUCUCUCUAAGGAACUCGGCAAAAUGACUCCGUAACUUCGGGAGAAGGAGUGCCUUAUUUUUAAGGUUGCAAUAACAAGAUCCAAGCAACUGUUUAUCAAAAACACAGGUCUCCGCUAAGUCGUAAGACGAUGUAUGGGGGCUGACGCCUGCCCAGUGCCAGAAGGUUAAAGAAGUUGGUUAGCAUUCGCGAAGCUGAUAACUGAAGCCCUGGUGAACGGCGGCCGUAACAAUAACGGUCCUAAGGUAGCGAAAUUCCUUGUCGGGUAAGUUCCGACCCGCACGAAAGGCGUAAUGAUUUGGAUACUGUCUCGGAGAGGGACUCGGUGAAAUAGACUUGUCUGUGAAGAUGCGGACUACCUGCACCUGGACAGAAAGACCCUAUGAAGCUUUACUGUAACUUGAAAUUGAAAUUGGACUUUAGUUGCGCAGGAUAGGUGGGAGGCGUUGAGAAUAUUCUUGCGGGAGUAUUGGAGCCAUCAGUGAGAUACCACUCUUCUAAUGUUAGAUUUCUAACUUUGUAUCAUUAUCUGGUCAAAGAACAGUUUCAGGCGGGCAGUUUGACUGGGGCGGUCGCCUCCUAAAGGGUAACGGAGGCGCACAAAGGUUCCCUCUGAACGAGUAGAAAUCGUAUCUAGAGUGUAAAGGCAUAAGGAAGCUUGACUGUGAGACCUACAAGUCGAGCAGGGACGAAAGUCGGUCUUAGUGAUCUGACGGUGCUGAGUGGAAAGGCCGUCACUCAACGGAUAAAAGUUACUCUAAGGAUAACAGGCUGAUCUCCCCCAAGAGUUCACAUCGACGGGGAGGUUUGGCACCUCGAUGUCGGCUCAUCGCAUCCUGGGGCGGUAGUACGUCCCAAGGGUUGGGCUGUUCGCCCAUGAAAGCGGUACGCGAGCUGGGUUCAGAACGUCGUGAGACAGUUCGGUCCAUAUCCGGUGUAGGCGUUAGAGUAUUGAGAGGAGCCUUCUCUAGUACGAGAGGACCGAGAAGGACAUACCUCUAGUGUACCAGUUAUCGUGCCAACGGUAAACGCUGGGUAGCUAUGUAUGGAGUGGAUAACCGCUGAAAGCAUCUAAGUGGGAAGCCCACCUCAAGAUAAG
rnacentral:rRNA from 1 species